rnacentral:rRNA from 1 species
AGAGUUUGAUCCUGGCUCAGGACGAACGCUGGCGGCGUGCUUAACACAUGCUAGUCUAACGGAAAGGCCCUUCUGGGUACUCAAGUGGCUAACGGGUGAGUGACACUUGGGUGAUCUGCCCUGUACUUUGGGAUAAGCCUGGUAAACUGGGCUCCAAUACCUACUCUGAUCUCCCCCUUUAUGCUGUGUGGUGCAAAGCUUUUGCUGAGUGGGAUGGGCCCGCCGACUAACCACUUGUUAGCUGGGUAAUGGCCUAACUUCGCGACAACGGUCAGCCCGUCUGAAAUGGUGACCCGGCUCGCUGGGACUGAGAUACGGGCUUCAUUCCUACGUAACGUCACUUGGGCUAAUAUUGUAUUGUGAGAGCUUUACUAAUCCAACGACGCCAUCUGUCGCAUGACGGCCUUCCGUUUGGCUAGCUCUUUUUGUACAAACUAACCCACUGUUACCGCACCUAUAAAUCAAGCACCG